UACAGAGGGUGCGAGCGUUGUCCGGAAUCACUGGGCGUAAAGGGCGCGUAGGCGGCUCGGUAAGGUUGCGGUGAAAGCCCGGGGCUCAACCCCGGGUCGGCCGUGGCAACUGCUGAGCUGGAGCACUGUAGAGGCAGGUGGAAUUCCGGGUGUAGCGGUGGAAUGCGCAGAUAUCAGGAGGAACACCGGUGGCGAAGGCGGGUCUCUGGGCCGUUAC
rnacentral:rRNA from 1 species